GAUGAACGCUAGCGAUAGGCCUAACACAUGCAAGUCGAGGGGCAUCACAUGAAGUAGCAAUACGGAUGGUGGCGACCGGCGCACGGGUGAGUAACACGUAUGCAACCUGCCUUCAACAAGGGGAUAACCCGUUGAAAGACGGACUAAUACCCUAUAACACAGGGGUCCCGCAUGGGAAUAUUUGUUAAAGGACAACCGGUUGAAGAUGGGCAUGCGUUCCAUUAGCUAGUUGGCGGGGUAACGGCCCACCAAGGCAACGAUGGAUAGGGGAACUGAGAGGUUUAUCCCCCACACUGGUACUGAGACACGGACCAGACUCCUACGGGAGGGCAGCAGUGAGGAAUAUUGGUCAAUGGACGCAAGUCUGAACCAGCCACGUCGCGUGAAGGAAG
rnacentral:rRNA from 1 species